rnacentral:rRNA from 1 species
UAAGCAUAUCAAUAAGCGGAGGAAAAGAAACCAACAGGGAUUGCCCUAGUAACGGCGAGUGAAGCGGCAACAGCUCAAAUUUGAAAUCUGGCUCUUUCAGAGUCCGAGUUGUAAUUUGCAGAGGGCGCUUUGGCAUUGGCAGCGGUCCAAGUUCUUUGGAACAGGACGUCACAGAGGGUGAGAAUCCCGUACGUGGUCGCUAGCCCUUGCCGUGUAAAGCCCCUUCGACGAGUCGAGUUGUUUGGGAAUGCAGCUCUAAAUGGGAGGUAAAUUUCUUCUAAAGCUAAAUACUGGCCAGAGACCGAUAGCGCACAAGUAGAGUGAUCGAAAGAUGAAAAGCACUUUGGAAAGAGAGUCAAAUAGCACGUGAAAUUGUUGAAAGGGAAGCGCUUGCAGCCAGACUUGCCUGUAGUUGCUUAUCUGGACUUUUGUCCAGUGCACUCUUCUGCGGGCAGGCCAGCAUCAGUUUGGGCGGUUGGAUAAAGGUCUCUGUCAUGUACCUCUCUUCGGGGAGGCCUUAUAGGGGAGACGACAUGCAACCAGCCUGGACUGAGGUCCGCGCAUUUGCUAGGAUGCUGGCGUAAUGGCUGUAAGCGGCCCGUCUUGAAACACGGACCAAGGAGUCUAACAUCUAUGCGAGUGUUUGGGUGUCAAGCCCAGACGCGUAAUGAAAGUGAACGGAGGUGGGAACCCUUUGGGUGCACCAUCGACCGAUCCUGAUGUCUUCGGAAGGAUUUGAGUAAGAGCAUGGCUGUUGGGACCCGAAAGAUGGUGAACUAUGCUUGAAUAGGGUGAAGCCAGAGGAAACUCUGGUGGAGGCUCGCAGCGGUUCUGACGUGCAAAUCGAUCGUCAAAUUUGGGCAUAGGGGCGAAAGACU